AUUGAACGCUGGCGGCAGGCCUAACACAUGCAAGUCGAACGGUAACAGGAAGCAGCUUGCUGCUUUGCUGACGAGUGGCGGACGGGUGAGUCAUGUCUGGGAAACUGCCCGAUGGAGGGGGAUAACUACUGGAAACGGUAGCUAAUACCGCAUAACGUCGCAAGACCAAAGAGGGGGACCUUAGGGCCUCUUGCCAUCGGAUGUGCCCAGAUGGGAUUAGCUAGUAGGUGGGGUAACGGCUCACCUAGGCGACGAUCCCUAGCUGGUCUGAGAGGAUGACCAGCCACACUGGAACUGAGACACGGUCCAGACUCCUACGGGAGGCAGCAGUGGGGAAUAUUGCCCAAUGGGCGCAAGCCUGAUGCAGCCAUGCCGCGUGUAUGAAGAAGGCCUUCGGGUUGUAAAGUACUUUCAGCGGGGAGGAAGGGAGUAAAGUUAAUACCUUUGCUCAUUGACGUUACCCGCAGAAGAAGCACCGGCUAACUCCGUG
rnacentral:rRNA from 1 species